CUCUGGGUAGCUCAGUUGGAAAAGCAUCAAACUGUAAUGGAUACCUCUCAUCUGAAUGUCACUGGUUCAAUCUGGGUCCCGGAGA
rnacentral:tRNA from 1 species